UUUGCCUCAUCUUAUGUGUCUUAAUCUCUCUUCUAAUCACCUUGGGAAAUCUGAUCGCAAUACGUGGGAAUGGCUAGAGCAAACUGCAAUCAGAAUUAGAUUGUGUGAUUUAAAUCUGUCGGACAAUCUGUUAAUGGAAUUACCGCCACAAAUUGGAAAACUAAAUACUUUAUUUUUUUAAAUCUCAAAUGCAAUAAGUUAAAAUAUUUACCACAAAGUCUCGCAAAUCUAAAAAAUUUAACAUUUCUUGAUUUGUCCGACAAUGAUUUAUUAUAUUUACCAGGAAGUAUAGCACAGUCAUGGGCGUUUAUAAAUGUUAAUGGGAAUCCAUUUAAUUUAGAUGACGAUAGUUAUGAUAAUUCGACUACGAAUUUGGAAGUGCCAAGUCUUCUGGAUUGUUCAGCUGAAAUUUUCCUGAAAUAUAGAUUAAAUUACACAAACGGAUUACCACAAGAAUUAGUCAAAUAUUUGGAUAAUAAAAGAUAUUGCUUCUUUUGUGUAACUCCAUGUUUUCGUUAUUAUGGAAAGCGCUUUAUAAAUUAUCUUAAGUAUAAGAAAAUACUGAAUCCUAAGUUUAUCCCGGUUCUAUCACUACAUAUUGAGAAAGCAAAGUUUGAAUGUUACGCUUGUUCAUCAGAAUGUGCUAAAAGAUUAAAGUUUGAUUAGUUUAUUCGACUUAAAAUUUACAAAAUGUAAUCUAUAUAAAAAUAUCUGAUAUAGCCGAUAUCAAAACUUUUGA